rnacentral:tRNA from 1 species
CGACAUAGCUCAAUUGGCAGAGCAACCGCCUUGUAAGCGGUAGGUCAUGGGUUCAAGUCCCAUUGUCGG